rnacentral:rRNA from 1 species
UACGAAGGGGGCUAGCGUUGCUCGGAAUCACUGGGCGUAAAGGGUGCGUAGGCGGGUCUUUAAGUCAGGGGGGAAAUCCUGGAGCUCAACUCCAGAACUGCCUUUGAUACUGAGGAUCUUGAGUUCGGGAGAGGUGAGUGGAACUGCGAGUGUAGAGGUGAAAUUCGUAGAUAUUCGCAAGAACACUAGUGGCGAAGGCGGCUCACUGGCCCGAUACUGACGCUGAGGUGCGAAAGCGUGGGGAGCAAACAGG